GAGUAGCUGGUAUUACAGGCGUGUGCCACAAAGCCUGGCUAAGUUUUGUAUUUUUAGUAGAGACGGGGUUUCACCAUGUUGGCCAGGUUGGUCUCGAACUCCUGACCUCAAGUGAUCCACUCACUUUGGCCUUUCAACGUGCUGGGAUUACAGGCGAGAGUCACCGCACCCGGACGACUCUGACAUUUUUGAAGAGUCCAGAAUCCUGUUACACCUGGGAUUUAGGCACUUUCAAUCUGAAAAAAUACAUAUCCUUUCAGCACUCUGGACGGACUUGAGAACUGUCCUUACGUGACCUAAAGCUGGAGUAUUUUGAGAUUGGAGAAUUAAGGCUACAGAGAAACAAGGAGACGGGAGAGCCUUGAAAUGGACCUUCAAGAUUACAAUGUGUAGCUGACAUUGUCAGUUAAGUUGGGCAGAUCUGACUUCGCUGAUUAAGUGGAUGUAUGAGCCGAUCCUCCCCAGAAGCUGGGAUCAGCUUCCCCAUCUGAUGAGCCAGUCUUGGUGCUCUGUGUUCACCUGGUUCAUCUGAGGAGCUGCAUCUACCCUGCCCAUGCCAUAGAUCCUGCCCUGUUUGCUUCUCCUGUUGCUGCUAGUGGACAUGAGGUAACCACAGCCUAGUUCUGUGAUAAGCUCUUCACACCUGUACCCAUAUGGACUGUGGGAGAGUUUCUCUGAUAUGGACUGUGAUGCGGAAGGACAGAAUAACGGGCUCCCAGAUUCACAAGCCCCACCAAGAGGAUCACCCCAGGAAUGCUUGGAGGCUGAGGAGUUCACUGAGGCUACUGCAUCUUGAGACUCAGGAUGAAGACCCAGCUUGGGGCUGUCAAAGGUUUUUUGCAUGUCUGACACCCAUGACUCCACCUGGACCUUAUGGCUCCACCCAGAAGCAAUUCAGCCCAACAGGAGGACAGCUUCAACCCAUUACGAUUUCAUCUCUGCCCCAACCACUCAGCAGCAAGCACCUGUUACCUGUCCAUCCCCACCCCUUCCCCCAAACUGCCUUUGAAAAAUCCCUAACCUAUGAGCUUUGAAUAAGAUGAGUACGAACUUCAUCGCCCAUGUGGCGUGGCCGGCCUCGUGUCUAUUAAAUUCUUUUUCUACUACAA
rnacentral:sRNA from 1 species